UACGAAGGGGGCUAGCGUUGCUCGGAAUUACUGGGCGUAAAGGGCGCGUAGGCGGAUAUCUAAGUUGGGGGUGAAAUCCCGGGGCUCAACCUCGGAAUUGCCUUCAAAACUGGAUAUCUUGAGUUCGGGAGAGGUGAGUGGAACUCCGAGUGUAGAGGUGAAAUUCGUAGAUAUUCGGAAGAACACCAGUGGCGAAGGCGACUCACUGGCCCGAUACUGACGCUGAGGCGCGAAAGCGUGGGGAGCAAACGGG
rnacentral:rRNA from 1 species